GCCGGCGUAGCUCAAUUGGUAGAGCACCUGAUUUGUAAUCAGGCGGUUGCGGGUUCAAGUCCUGUUGCCGGCUC
rnacentral:tRNA from 1 species